UAACAGGAAAUUUAAGGGCGUACGGUGGAUGCCUUGACUUUAAGAGGCGAUGAAGGACGUGGCGUUGCUGCGAUAAGCUUCGGGGAGGUGCUUAGCAACCUUUGAUCCGGAGAUUUCCGAAUGGGGAAACCCUAUCAAGUAAACCUUGAUAACCCCCCACCAUAAUUGGUGGGGGGAGCAUACCCUGGGAAGUGAAACAUCUCAGUACCAGGAGGAGCAGAAAACAAUGGGAUUGUUUUAUGCAGUCCCAAUAUUUCCUAAGUAGCGGCGAGCGAAAAGGAAGAAGCCCAAACCCCCACACCUACUUUGUUAUUGUUUUUAUGUUCUGAUUUUAUUUUAUCUCGUAUGGUAAAUAAAGUUGAGGAUAUUAAAGUAAUAAAAAUAUUGUUUUAAAAAACAGAACGAUAACAAAGUAGGUGUGGGGGGGUUGUAAGAUGACAAUG
rnacentral:ncRNA from 1 species